UAGGGAAUCUUCGGCAAUGGACGAAAGUCUGACCGAGCAACGCCGCGUGAGUGAAGAAGGUUUUCGGAUCGUAAAACUCUGUUGUUAGAGAAGAACAAGGAUGAGAGUAGAAUGUUCAUCCCUUGACGGUAUCUUACCAGAAAGGGACGGCUAACUACGUGCCAGCAGCCGCGGUAAUACGUAGGUCCCGAGCGUUGUCCGGAUUUAUUGGGCGUAAAGCGAGCGCAGGCGGUUUAAUAAGUCUGAAGUUAAAGGCAGUGGCUCAACCAUUGUACGCUUUGGAAACUGUUAAACUUGAGUGCAGAAGGGGGAGUGGAAUUCCAUGUGUAGCGGUGAAAUGCGUAGAUAUAUGGAGGAACACCGGUGGCGAAAGCGGCUCUCUGGUCUGUAACUGACGCUGAGGCUCGAAAGCGUGGGGAGCAAACAGGAUUAGAUACCCUGGUA
rnacentral:rRNA from 1 species